GCUUAGGUAGCUCAGUCGGUAGAGCAGGGGACUGAAAAUCCCCGUGUCGGCGGUUCAAUUCCGUCCCUAAGCACCA
rnacentral:tRNA from 1 species